UGUACAGAGGUUUUUGGAAGCUUAUCUUUAUUGUUAAUUUAAUUGGAAUAAUGGUCACACAACUGGACGAUAUUCGACAAAAGACUAGCGCGCGGUCAAAAGAACUCUAUAUUAAAAGAUGAUAUAUGGCACAAGUUGUCACUCCAGUUGAAUUGCUCGGAACGAGGUUGUAUUACACGUUGGAAAAGUAUUCGUGAUAGAUUUGGUAAAGAAUUAAGGAGGGCACAAGAAAACCCUGAUGAGAUGGUAAACUGGGAUAUGUUCGAACAUCUGCUAUUUUUAAGAGAUCAUUACAACAAGGAGUUGUUAGGCAAACAAAUGGAGAGGCGUUUCUUAAUAUAAAAUAUGCUCCAAAAAAACGAAGACGGGGACGUAAAAGAAAGAUAGAUUGUGAAGAAGAUGGGCCUAAAGAAGAUCGAGAUGACGACGAUGCCGAUCCUGAUGAGGUGGUUGAAAACCAGCAAUUAAUCGAGUUGGUAAAAGACCAUCCCGUACUAUAUGACAAAAUUAAAAUACGGGAUUCAAAAAAUUUGACAUUGAAAAAUGAUUCUUGGCGUGAGAUUUCCGAAAGCAUGGGAAUAUCAGAUUAGUUUUACACAACAGAUUCUGGCGAAGACGACCAAAACAAAAUAUAUGUGCAGCGACACACAGUGAUAUUUCCCCAAUUCGUGCCCAUAAAUCCACGAUAAAAGCAUUGAUUUUGGGCUUUUAUUCUAUUGGCACGUCCCGACCUUUUGCAUUGUUCAUAUGAUCAGUGUGAAACUGUUAGUUGAUGCAGCGCUCUGAAAAGUAAAAAUGUAAUGCUAAAGUUUAAAA